UGGGCGGCCGGAGAGGGAGAGGUGAGCGGUGGUGGGUGUAUACGAGUGAUUCAUACCAGCUCGUCCCGCUUCUCUUCUAUAUGAGAGCGCGCGCCUAUUGAUGUCAAGAGGGAGUUCAAAGUUAUUGAUUUGGACCGAAAUGCUUGCUCGGAGGAGGUGGUGUUGGCAUACCUGGCCCACCACAGAACACAACUUCUCCUCCUUGUUUGUUUUGACUCAUCCGACGUCUUUUCUCACCUUCCGAUGACCUUUUUAACUCUUUAUUUUGGGUCACACUCCUUGCAUUUAGUGCGCCAGAUAAAGAACCACCCAGUCCAGUCAAGAGGCCGACCUGCCAGCAUCACUGUUUAUGGAGCUUACUCGCUGAGAGAAAGAGCAAGGGGAAGGAUUCCAUUAAUUCCAGCCGGCCUCUUGACCUUUUGGCAGGCAGGCAGGCAGGCCCGUCAUUUGAGUUAUCAGGCUUCUUCCUGUUUUUUGGACCCUACCAUUUGUAUUCUGAGGAAGGGGGACGGAUUCCAUGCAUUCCAGCCCGCCUCAUGACCUUUCAGCAGGCAAGCGACGACCCGUCA